rnacentral:rRNA from 1 species
CCUACGGGAGGCAGCAGUGAGGAAUAUUGGUCAAUGGGCGCGAGCCUGAACCAGCCAAGUAGCGUGAAGGAUGACUGCCCUACGGGUUGUAAACUUCUUUUAUAAAGGAAUAAAGUGAGGCACGUGUGCCUCUUUGUAUGUACUUUAUGAAUAAGGAUCGGCUAACUCCGUGCCAGCAGCCGCGGUAAUACGGAGGAUCCGAGCGUUAUCCGGAUUUAUUGGGUUUAAAGGGAGCGUAGAUGGGUUGUUAAGUCAGUUGUGAAAGUUUGCGGCUCAACCGUAAAAUUGCAAUUGAUACUGGCAGCCUUGAGUACAGUGGAGGUAGGCGGAAUUCGUGGUGUAGCGGUGAAAUGCUUAGAUAUCACGCAGAACUCCGAUUGCGAAGGCAGCUUACUAAGCCAUAACUGACACUGAAGCACGAAAGCGUGGGGAUCAAACAGGAUUAGAUACCCGGGUAGUC